AGUUGAAAAAUGCAUCCAUGGAUUCCUUGGGAUGAGCCGACUCCAAAAGUGCAAGGUCAGCUCCAGAUUUUGGCGAGUCGACUCCGGGUUAAGUCGAGUCGACUCCCAGUCGAGAAGACCACUUUAAUUCAAAUCUGGAACAGUUGCCGAGCCGACUCCAGAAAAGCAUGAGUCGACUCCUGCUACAGCCGAGUCGACUCCAGAUCGCGCGAGUCGACUCCGAUCCCAACGGAAACUUUGUCAGGAGUUGCAGACUGUGCACAACGGCUCUAUUUUUCUCUCUAACGGCUAGAUUUCUGGUUCCACGACAUGUAAAGCUAUAAAAUCAAGAGGAGAGCUAGGGAAGA
rnacentral:lncRNA from 1 species